ensembl:lncRNA
CCCGGCGCACGGGCACACGCAGGCACACACAUGCCGAUACGAGCUCGGCGCGCCCGCCCCGCCGCUCCUCCGCCCCGCGCAUCCCGGGGCUGCGCUCGCACUUUCACCAGCACCGGCCAACUUUCCCCGCGCUCCGCCAGCGCUCUGGACGCCGCUGCCGCUCCCCGCACCCCUCGGGCCGAGAUUGCUGCAAGAAAUACAGCAAGAAAUGUUGAUCCUUGA